rnacentral:lncRNA from 1 species
CAGAAAAUAUACACAUGAAACAUUUUAUUUAUUUGUAAACCACAAUGUCAUAGUUUACAUUGAAAUUAUCAGCUUUCUUUUUUUGCAAGGUACAAAUACUAUAGUAGCAGUAUAUAUAUACAUGUUUGAUGAUUGUUUCUUCUUCCAAAUCAGCAUCUCCAAUUCUUCACAACCUACUAUACAAUGGAAAAGAGUUAGUAAGAAGUUCUAGAAAUAAAAAAGAUACUCCAAAUUCAUGAAAGAGUUCAUGACAAAAACACUCUAGAAAAGAACGAUCAACAAGCAGAUCAGGUGUAGACCACUCGAUAGAUUGGAUAAAGUAAUAUCUUGUGCUUUCUGGAAUAAUGUUUUGGGUCAAAAUAAUUGAUGCACACAUAUCGCACAAGUCUAUACAUUGAAGUCAUCAUGAGAUUUUACUGAAAUAUUUGAAGCCAAUUGCAUGUACAAUAUCAAUAGGGGAAAUCCAUGACCUAUGUGCGGAAACAACAUUUGGUAGUUGCAGAAGUUAGAUCAUUCAGAGCUUUUAUUCUAGCAUGCUAACUGAUAGGUCUUGCACACGGAAUUUAGUCACAACAACAUUCAUUCCAUACAAAUGUCGUUAAGUAUUACUGUAUUAAGAACUAUAGAAAUGUAUUUUAAGACAUCAAGAUCAGAAACUAUACCUGGGAUGCAGAUUUGUUAGGUGACGCCUCCACGGCGAAAUCAUAGUCUCACACUCUCGCUACUUCCCAUAAGAUCCAUAAUUCAGCAAGGACUUUAGUCUAAUAGUUGCGGCCUCAAAGCCUAUGAACAUAUCUGCUAACAAUUAACUAAAUUCAUGUUAACAAAAGAAAGUUACCCCAAACAAAUGUGUAGCCGUCUUACAUCUCUCUCAACAGAACUGAAGUCACAUGUUUCGUCUCUAGCAAAAUAUCUUCCUUGUUGUAUUUGUUCCAUUCUGGACCUCGUCGCUUUCAAAGGUACGAACAAAACAACUGUAAAAAAAUAAUGGCGGCACAAAUGAUGAUUCACCAUCUACAUAUUAUAAAGAAAGAACA